ACUCCUACGGGGAGGCAGCAGUGGGGAAUAUUGCACAAAUGGGCGAAAAGCCUGAUGCAGCAACGCCGCGUGAGCGAUGAAGGCCUUCGGGUCGUAAAGCUUCUGUCCUAUGGGGAAGAUAAUGACGGUACCAUAGGAGGAAGCCCCGGCUAACUACGUGCCAGCAGCCGCGGUAAUACGUAGGGGGCAAGCGUUAUCCGGAAUUAGCUGGGCGUAAAGGGUGCGUAGGCGGUUUAUCGAAGUACAGGGGUGAAAGGCUACGGCUCAACCGUAAGUGAGCCUCUGAAAACUGGGUGAACUUGAGUGUAUGGAGAGGAAAGUGGAAUUCCAGUGUAGCGGGUGAAAUGCGUAGAUAUUGGGGAGGAACACCAAGUGGCGAAGGCGACUUUCUGGACUACAACU
rnacentral:rRNA from 1 species